UUACGACCAUAUCACGUUGAAACACGAGUUCUCGUUGGAUCACCGAAGUUAAGCAAUGUAGAAACUAGGCUGUACCUAAAUGGGUGACCGUUUGGGAACACCAAGG